rnacentral:rRNA from 1 species
UACGUAGGGGGCAAGCGUUGUCCGGAUUUAUUGGGCGUAAAGAGCGUGUAGGCGGCCAGACAAGUCUGCUGUGAAAACUCGAGGCUCAACCUCGAGCUGUCGGUGGAAACUGUCUGGCUUGAAUCCGGGAGAGGGAUGCAGAAUUCCAGGUGUAGCGGUGAAAUGCGUAGAUAUCUGGAGGAAUACCGGUGGCGAAGGCGGCAUCCUGGACCGGCAUUGACGCUGAUGAGCGAAAGCUAGGGGAGCAAACGGG